rnacentral:pre_miRNA from 1 species
UGCCGAAGUUUUCCUCGGCAAAUAACUGCAACAGGUUUCAUAAUUCGGCAGUUAACUGUCGAGGGGCAU